rnacentral:rRNA from 1 species
AUUGAACGCUGGCGGCAGGCCUAACACAUGCAAGUCGAGCGAGCGGCGGACGGGUGAGUAAUGUAUGGGGACUGCCCGAUAGCGGGGGAUAACUACUGGAAACGGUAGCUAAUACCGCAUACUAUCGGAUAACCCAUAUGGGAUUAGCUCGUAGGUGAGGUAAUGGCUACCCUAGGCGACGAUCCCUAGCUGGUCUGAGAGGAUUCUCAGCAAUCUUGGUACUGAGACACGGCCCAGACUCCUACGGAGGCAGCAGGGGGGAAUAUUGCACAAUGGGCGCAAGCCUGAUGCAGCCAUGCCGCGUGUAUGAAGAAGGCCCUAGGGGUGUAAAGUACUUUCAGUCGGGAGGCGUUACCGACAGAAGAAGCACCGGCUAACUCCGUGCCAGCAGCCGCGGUAAUAC